rnacentral:rRNA from 1 species
GACGAACGCUGGCGGCGUGCUUAACACAUGCAAGUCGAACGGAAAGGCCCUGCUUUUGUGGGGUGCUCGAGUGGCGAACGGGUGAGUAACACGUGAGUAACCUGCCCUUGACUUUGGGAUAACUUCAGGAAACUGGGUCUAAUACCGGAUAGGAGCUCCUGCUGCAUGGUGGGGGUCGGAAAGUUUCGGCGGUUGGGGAUGGACUCGCGGCCUAUCAGCUUGUUGGUGGGGUAGUGGCUUACCAAGGCUUUGACGGGUAGCCGGCCUGAGGGGGUGACCGGCCACAUUGGGACUGGGAUACGGCCAGGACUCCUCCGGGAGGCAGCAGUGGGGAAUAUUGCACAAUGGGGGGAAGCCUGAUGCAGCACCGCCGCGUGCGGGAUGACGGCCUUCGGGUUGUAAACCGCUUUCGCCUGUGACGAAGUGUGAGUGACGGUAAUGGGUAAAGAAGCACCGGCUAACUACGUG